rnacentral:rRNA from 1 species
GACGAACGCUGGCGGCGUGCCUAAUACAUGCAAGUCGAGCGAAGUUUUUCUGGUGCUUGCACCGGAAAAACUUAGCGGCGAACGGGUGAGUAACACGUAAAGAACCUGCCUCAUAGACUGGGACAACUAUUGGAAACGAUAGCUAAUACCGGAUAACAGCAUUAACUGCAUGGUUGAUGUUUAAAAGUUGGUUUUGCUAACACUAUGAGAUGGCUUUGCGGUGCAUUAGCUAGUUGGUGGGGUAAAGGCCUACCAAGGCGACGAUGCAUAGCCGACCUGAGAGGGUGAUCGGCCACACUGGGACUGAGACACGGCCCAGACUCCUACGGGAGGUAGCAGUAGGGAAUCUUCCGCAAUGGGCGAAAGCCUGACGGAGCAACGCCGCGUGAGUGAAGAAGGAUUUCGGUUCGUAAAGCUCUGUUGUUAGGGAAGAAUGAUUGUGUAGUAACUAUACACAGUAGAGACGGUACCUAACCAGAAAGCCACGGCUAACUACGUG